CCUACGGGUGGCAGCAGUGGGGAAUAUUGCACAAUGGGGGGAACCCUGAUGCAGCGAUGCCGCGUGGGUGAAGAAGCACUCCGGUGCGUAAAGCUCUGUCAGCAGGGAAGAAAAUGACAGUACCUGACCAAGAAGCCCCGGCUAACUACGUGCCAGCAGCCGCGGUAAUACGUAGGGGGCAAGCGUUAUCCGGAUUUACUGGGUGGAAAGGGAGCGUAGGCGGUAUAGCAAGUCCGAUGUGAAAGCUCAGGGCCCAACCCCGGGACUGCAUUGGAAACUGUCGAACUGGAGUGCAGGAGAGGUAAGUGGAAUUCCUAGUGGAGCGGUGAAAUGCGUAGAUAUUAGGAGGAACACCAGUGGCGAAGGCGGCUUACUGGACGGUAACUGACGUUGAGGCUCGAAAGCGUGGGGAGCAAACAGGAUUAGAUACCCGAGUAGUC
rnacentral:rRNA from 1 species